UGUGUGUGUGUGUGUGUGUGUGUGUGUGUGUUGUAUUUCUACCCUUCUUGAGACAUCAACAAGGAAAAGUACCCUCCAUAUGAGGACCGGUGAACAAGUUAGGACCGAAAUCGUGGUCCCAAUAAGGAAAACUAUUGCGUAGAAAAUGGCUCAUUUUCAUGACGGGGGGAAGGGGUGUCGCAGCUUGUUGCGGGGUUUGUUCUCACAGGAUGCAAACAGACUUCUCUGGACCAGGUGUGAAGUGUGGUCCAACCUAAUCCUGGUUUCCCCUUCAAAAGAACCUCAUUCCAGAGCGGUGAAGACUUUAGAAGACUUCUGCGUCUCCCUGAGGUAAAAGGAUUUCUUGUGUUGGACUCUUGCCUUGCUCAGUGUGCCCUGGCUCUUUCACCCGCUGACCUCUGAGGAACCUAUUUUGUCCAGAUUACAUGGUGUGAGUUUCUGCCCCAUCGCCCUUAGUUAUCCCUUUUGUCUAAUAAAAUGUUUACAUUUUUUUGUAAUCCCACCUUGUCUCCUGUCUCUGCAUCCUGGGGUCACCCACACUUGACCAAUUCAUAACACCAUUAGUAACAUAACACCUGUUCCAAAGCAAAUCCAAUGGCUCCCCAAUAAAUAUCGCAUCCACUUGGACAGACCUGGGCAAAUUACGUCCCGGGGGCCACAUGUGGCCCGUUAAGCUUUUCAAUCCGGCCUGCCGGACAUUCCCAGAUAAUUAUUUUUAUUUCUUUAAGAUGGAAAGUGUAGCUGCCAUUAUGAUGUGCAGUGAUGGUUUUCUAAUGACUGUAAGUCUUCAACUAUACUAAGUAUUUCAAUAGUUGGAAUCUGCACUUUUGCGUGAGAUUUUAUCCACUAGUGUUGUCCUGAUACCAAUAUUAUGUUGAUACUUUUUCUGAAUAAAGAUAACCAGAACAAAUUGUA